AUUGGGCUUAGUGUCGUCUGUCGCUGCUUUCUGAUCCAAAUCUUCCAAAUAUGGCUCAAACCUAUAUGGCUGUAUGUCGCAUACUUCCUCUGGAUCGACAAUAGUAUUAAAAAAUCCACAUUUUAACCAGAAUCGCUGGAAAAUGGUUGGGGCCGAACGGUAGUGAUGGUGAGUUGAAGCCCAGUGUCAUAUAUUUAGAGAGUUGCGACACUCCCAUAGGGAUCCAUUAUACGAUUUUACUUCCGGGUACUUCCGGGUUAUGGAGCCUUGGAUAGUUACAAACAUUGCAUUUGACAGGGCGGAAACCAUUAAUUUGAACGGCAGGCUGUCAAGUAUAUUCGGAGAGGCCCUUUGUGACAUACUUAUCUUCAGCACUUCUGCCUUCAGCCUCAGCAUCUCAAACACUUCGUCCAAAAUCCCAGGCUCCAUCUUUACAUGCUGCAUCCUCCUUUGCAGCGUGCGGAUGUUGGGCAGUGGAAUCUGCAUUUGCUGGAGGGCUUUAUAACCAGUAGUGCCAGCGUUGCCAUUUUGCCUGACAGCGUGGUCCCUGGCGCAUCUGGGCCUAGUGUUGUGGUGCCACCGCUGGUUCCUGAUUGGUCGGCACCCGGCUCAUCCACCCCUGGAUCACCUGGCCUGGAUACGUCAUUGUCAUUGUGCUCACUUUCGCCCAACCUUCCCACCUCAAUUUCUCCCUGAAUAUCUGUAACAAUAACAAGGCAUUCUUAAUUUUAUAUGCAGUCAGUGUUUUUACAUUUGCACCUAUUGUCAUCUCCAAAGUAAGGGUACACUACACUCCUAAAGGGAAAAAAAAAAUAACGGACAUUACUGUUACAUGAAUCAAAUCAUCUGCCACAAUCAGAAACUGCUAUGGCAUUGCCAUGUGUCAACAGUCUGGUGAUAUCAUGGAGUUGGUUCUGCUUUGCUGUUGUAUCCACCAGAAAUGUUUAGUUAUAGGUGAAAAUUAAAUGCAUAAAUAAAGCUAAAUUAUGAAGUAACUAACAAUGAAGUAGAUCGAAAUUUUGUGUGUAAAUCCCAGGACAAUUCCUGACCUCUUGUAUUUGAAGCUGAAUGUAUUAAUAUGAUAAAUGGAAAAACUACACUCCUAAUAAGAUAAUUACUUGAAUUACUUGACAUGGGAAAUGUUGUUGACAGCUGGUCUGUAUCAUACCCAAGUUUAACCUGGUGCAAUAUGUAUGGUCCGUUUGAAUUUUGGUUGGAGGCACACUCCUAAAGGGAAGUUUCCUCCUCUUUGGCUUUGAACGAUGAAU